rnacentral:rRNA from 1 species
UACGAAGGGGGCUAGCGUUGCUCGGAAUCACUGGGCGUAAAGGGUGCGUAGGCGGGUCUUUUAAGUCAGGGGUGAAAUCCUGGAGCUCAACUCCAGAACUGCCUUUGAUACUGGAGAGCUAGAGUCCGGAAGAGGUGAGUGGAACUGCGAGUGUAGAGGUGAAAUUCGUAGAUAUUCGCAAGAACACCAGUGGCGAAGGCGGCUCGCUGGUCCGGUACUGACGCUGAGGUGCGAAAGCGUGGGGAGCAAACAGG